rnacentral:rRNA from 1 species
UACAGAGGGUGCGAGCGUUAAUCGGAAUUACUGGGCGUAAAGCGUGCGUAGACGGUUAUAUAAGUCGGGUGUGAAAGCCCCGGGCUCCAACCUGGGAAUUGCAUUCGAGACUGCAUAGCUAGGGUGCGGAAGAGGGAAGCGGAAUUUCCGGUGUAGCGGUGAAAUGCGUAGAUAUCGGAAGGAACAUCAGUGGCGAAGGCGGCUUCCUGGUCCAGCACCGACGUUCAGGCACGAAAGCGUGGGGAGCAAACAGG